UACAGAGGUCUCAAGCGUUGUUCGGAUUCAUUGGGCGUAAAGGGUGCGUAGGCGGCGCGGUAAGUCGGGUGUGAAAUUUCGAGGCUUAACUUCGAAACUGCAUUCGAUACUGCCGUGCUUGAGGACUGGAGAGGAGACUGGAAUUCAUGGUGUAGCAGUGAAAUGCGUAGAUAUCGAGAGGAACACCUGCGGCGAAGGCGGGUCUCUGGACAGUUCCUGACGCUGAGGCACGAAGGCCAGGGGAGCAAACGGG
rnacentral:rRNA from 1 species